rnacentral:rRNA from 1 species
UGAGGAAUAUUGGUCAAUGGGCGAGAGCCUGAACCAGCCAAGUCGCGUGAGGGAAGACGGUCCUACGGAUUGUAAACCUCUUUGUCGGGGAGCAAUAAAGCGUACGCGUACGCAGAUGCGAGUACCCGAAGAAAAAGCAUCGGCUAACUCCGUGCCAGCAGCCGCGGUAAUACGGAGGAUGCGAGCGUUAUCCGGAUUUAUUGGGUUUAAAGGGUGCGCAGGCGGAAAGUGCAAGUCAGCGGUCAAACGACGGGGCUCAACCCCGUCUCGCCGUUGAAACUGUCUUUCUAGAGUGAGCGAGAAGUAUGCGGAAUGCGUGGUGUAGCGGUGAAAUGCAUAGAUAUCACGCAGAACUCCGAUCGCGAAGGCAGCAUACCGGCGCUCAACUGACGCUCAUGCACGAAAGCGUGGGUAUCGAACAGGAUUAGAUACC